rnacentral:lncRNA from 1 species
ACAGUUUCUUCUUGUUGCAAACAAAGGGAGCAUCGGUUAACAUGAUAGAUACCUCUUCUUUUCAUAUUGUCUAUUGUAGGUAGUUUAUUGAGAAGGGCCUGCCAUGUACAUAAGGAGUGUCUUUGUGAUCCCGGUCGAUCCCAUGUCCAACUGCUUGGGACCCACUUGUUAUUUCUUUGUCUAAUUUGAUUUCAUACGGAUGUGGCACUAAAUUUGCCAUUGUCAUGAGGCCAAAUAAGUAUAUCUGAAGAGUUGUUCUUGAUUGGAAUAGCUAUGAUAGUCGGCCAAAGUGAUAACAUUUCGGGAGAAAUAGGAUUAGGGAGACACCAGGUACCGUUAGCAAUGAACUCGGAAACCUUCCAAACUUUGGGAGCCCCAAGAUCUUUU